rnacentral:RNase_P_RNA from 1 species
UGGAGCAAGAGUGCGACUGACGGUAGCAGUCCUUCAGGACAGCAGCUGAGGAAGCUCCCAACUACAUGCCGGUACCGGUCCUGUGCGAACAGGGAGGUGAGAGCCUCGCUCUGGAAACAGAAACGACACCUCCAAUUCACGUUUGACUGUGAUACGGACUCGAAUCCGUUGAGAAGUGAUUUGGCCAGGUUGAAACGGUCCAUCACCGGGUUAGCAAUCUCAAGAAUACGCCUACGACGUGCCGGCCCGAGGCGUAGGGUAGAGAGCAUAGUUUGAUGUCGCAAAGCUCUACUCUGGUAACUCAGUAGGGCAGAACAGAAUUGGGGCUACUCCUUGCACCA